UUCUUGACAAUUCUCAGAUAGAAAGCUGCUGGAAGGAUGAAAAUCAGCAUUGUGGCCGAAGAAGCCCCUGGGGAGAGAAGUGGGCAGUGUGUAGCACCUGGCUGCUUGGGAGAGGCCACUGGGCUAAAGGCUGCACCGGGACUCACCUAUGAACCCGAAGAUGUACUUUAUGGUGGGCACAAGGAUGACCAGCACGUUGUUGAGGGCGAUGAUCACGGCCGCGAUCAGGACGUGCCGCACCCAGCUGAAAGGCCUUCUGGGAAACAGCAGCGUGCUCACCGACGUCCGGAUCUGCAGGUCAGGGUGAGAGGGGCGGUUUUCCCAUCAUCCCCGCGGCAAAGACUUUUGGGCCUUUCCUUCAUGGUUUUUACGUACACUACACCCAACAGAAUCUGUGAGGUGUCUGCACAGCCGCACGUGCAGAGCUGUCACACGCCCUGGCCCCAGUGAAGUAACUGGGGGAGGGACUUUCCCAUCACAGUGGGUGAAACGUGGAGGGAAAGCAGCGCUGUGGGAGGAGCGCCUGCGAGCUCGCAUCGGGCUGGAUCGGGCUGUUCCUGCACACUCCGGCCGCCUGACUUCAGGAGCGACCCUGCUGCUCCACUUGCCCACGGCAGGGGCGCAGUCCCCGGAGUUUCUCUUCAGGGGCUGGCACACAGCAGGCACUCGGUAAGUAUUGAAUCAAGUUGAAGCUAGCCGUCUCCCCUCCCUGAGGGCCCCCACCGCCAUCGUCCUACUUCCGCAGGGGAAGGGGCUCUGAGUCCAGCCUGCGGUCUCCCAGCACCCAGUUCUGACACAGCACGCGCCUCCCUCCACGAUGCCGGGGAUGCGGGGGCCGACGUCUCGCUCUCCCAUGGGAGUGCGUUCAACAGAAGGAACGUGCACCCCACUCUGCCAUGUACAGGGACCAAGGGGGGGGGGCCCUCUGCCCCAGGUGCCUGCCAGCGGCUCAGGACCCUGGCUCCUGACCCGACUCCCCAAGCCUGGAAGGACGCGUGAGUCCCAAGAACCCACCGGGCCUGACCCAGGGUGGCCCAGCGCUGGAGAAGGCACAAGUAAGUGGAUGUGUCCGUUCUCCCACUGUCACUGUCACAGCAUGUGGCCAGGGGUAGUGGCCCCCUCACUGGGACUGCCCCUUCCCGUGACCGUGGCGGUCACACGGCAAGGCCUCUCAGUCUUCUCUGACCAGGGCCGCUGGGAGAUGUCCCACCGUGCCGCCAGCUCCGUACUCUAACGCCAUCCGUUACCUAGCAGUCCAGCACCCCCACCUUCCUGUGAUGCACCUGUGUCCAGAAAGGCGAAGACUCCAUGAUGGCCUCGUGGAAGUUAAGCUCUGUAGAGGUACCAUGGACCUCCCAGCCAGGCUCCACUCGGCGUGUAGGGCCAGUGAGGCACAUGGGAGUACCUUGUUUGUGCCAGAGUGUGGGCCCUCAUGCUGAAGAGCAAAUAUGUAUCCACCCUCUAAAUAAAUCCUGCUCUCACCGUGCCCUGUGCUUAAGCCUUUGUGGGGAAAAGAACUUGGAAUAAAACUAGCUAUUCCCGGGGCCAGCGCAAGAGGGCUGCCAUGCACCACCCGGGAAGCUGGGAACUUGAGGAUUUGUCCCUGCACACGUUCCUCCUGCUGCGGCUGGCCUCUCAGAAGCUGGCGCUGGUUUUAGGCUGUGGGCAUGUUGGAGGCAACAAGGUACAGGCCCCCUGGUAACAUGUCCCAGAAAAGGGAGGCACCAACACGUAUCUGAGCACAAGGCUCCAGUUGCUGUGGCUCGACAGCCCCUCAAGUGCCCAUCGGUGCUGGUUUUAACUCAAGCCACCCAGGACAAAGUGACACCCAAUGCAGUGCCACGCAGGGCAACCCUGGCAGAGGCGCUGUGGCGGAACACACAGCAGGAGCUUGGUCUUUUUCUCACCCUUUGGCAACACCACCUCGAAGCACUAGCCGCGUGUAGCACAGGGCAGAUCUAAGUGCCUUUGAAACGCUCCUGGGCAUCGCGACCACGCACGUUGGGGAGGACUCACCGGGAACAGGACGAUGGGCACAGUCAGGGUCACGGCC